GACGGAGGGUGCAAGCGUUAUUCGGAAUCAUUGGGCGUAAAGAGUGUGUAGGCGGCCGGUUAAGUCAGGUGUGAAAGCCCGGGGCUCAACCCCGGAAGUGCACUUGAAACUGGUCGGCUUGAGUUCGGGAGAGGGAAGCGGAAUUCCUGGUGUAGAGGUGAAAUUCGUAGAUAUCAGGAGGAACAUCGGUGGCGAAGGCGGCUUCCUGGACCGAAACUGACGCUGAGACACGAAAGCGUGGGGAGCAAAC
rnacentral:rRNA from 1 species